rnacentral:rRNA from 1 species
UGGAGAGUUUGAUCCUGGCUCAGGACGAACGCUGGCGGCGUGCUUAACACAUGCAAGUCGAACGGAAAGGCCCUUCGGGGUACUCGAGUGGCGAACGGGUGAGUAACACGUGGGUGAUCUGCCCUGCACUUUGGGAUAAGCCUGGGAAACUGGGUCUAAUACCGAAUAGGACCACGCGCUUCAUGGUGUGUGGUGGAAAGCUUUUGCGGUGUGGGAUGGGCCCGCGGCCUAUCAGCUUGUUGGUGGGGUAAUGGCCUACCAAGGCGACGACGGGUAGCCGGCCUGAGAGGGUGACCGGCCACACUGGGACUGAGAUACGGCCCAGACUCCUACGGGAGGCAGCAGUGGGGAAUAUUGCACAAUGGGCGCAAGCCUGAUGCAGCGACGCCGCGUGAGGGAUGACGGCCUUCGGGUUGUAAACCUCUUUCACCAGGGACGAAGCGNAAGUGACGGUACCUAAGAAGAACACCGGCCAACUACGUGCCAGCAGCCGCGGUA